ACUCCUACGGGAGGCAGCAGUGGGGAAUUUUGCACAAUGGGGGAAACCCUGAUGCAGCAACGCCGCGUGGAGGAUGAAGUCCCUUGGGAUGUAAACUCCUUUCGACCGGGACGAUAAUGACGGUACCGGAAGAAGAAGCACCGGCUAACUCUGUGCCAGCAGCCGCGGUAAUACAGAGGGUGCAAGCGUUGUUCGGAAUUAUUGGGCGUAAAGGGCGCGUAGGCGGUGCGGUAAGUCUGCGGUGAAAUCUCCCGGCUCAACUGGGAGGCUGCCGUGGAAACUGCCGUGCUUGAGUGUGGGAGAGGUGAGUGGAAUUCCCGGUGUAGCGGUGAAAUGCGCAGAUAUCAGGAGGAACACCGGUGGCGAAGGCGGGUCUCUGGGCCGAUACUGACGCUGAGGAGCGAAAGCGUGGGGAGCGAACAGGAUUAGAUACCCUGGUAGUCCACGCUGUAAACGUUGGGCGCUAGGUGUGGGGGGCCUCUCCGGUCCUCUGUGCCGCAGCUAACGCAUUAAGCGCCCCGCCUGGGGAGUACGGCCGCAAGGCUAAAACUCAAAGGAAUUGACG
rnacentral:rRNA from 1 species